UCCCCAGUUAGAUCUCCAAAUCUGAAUUGUAUCUAAACACCUGUAGAAGCACCAGCUGCAAAACAACAGAGUCUAGGUAGCUGGGAGAGCAGAAAGGGAGGGAGGGAGGGAGGGAGGGAGAAAGGGGAAGUUUCAUGACAGCCUCUGUCUUCAGUGCCGGUGUGUAUUAGCUCAAAAUGAGAAGCCAGACUGUGGCACAAAUAGAGACACCUUCAGAUUGGUAUUAUGCACAAACCCACAUUCAGUAGCUACAGAAAUGUCUCACAGAAUAUGUCUGCUUUUAUGAUGUAAUAUUUAAUAACACCUUAUGCUAAUCUAUUGCACAACCUGGUCUCGUAGCUAGAUCUCCAAAUCCUAAACCAGAGCAGGUAGAAGCUGAUUGAGCUGCAUCCUAAAAGAUUCAGCAAGAAAGAAACUCCCAUCUGCAUACCAGCUUCAGAAAUGGCAAACCUGGAAUUUCAGACUUCAGCAGCAGUGAAACUCUGCUGGAAGAUAUGGCUCCAAUUUCCAUGCCGGAAGCAAUGUGCUGGGGGAUACCCUCCUCCCACCUCCCACCAGGACUUGUUAACAGCAGAAACUCUUGGUCUACCAGAGACAGAACCUUCAGGAAAGACAGAGCACUGAGAACUUCAGACUUUCAAGGUGAUCUAAAGAAUAGUUUUCUUAUAACAAAUGAUGCAGUGCAACAGAACCUACAUUCAAGCAGUAAGAGCAGCUCAUGUAACUCUGUGCUGAUGGUGACUUCUGAGUACUCUGGAUGCAAGCUGUAAGUUUUGACUGAAAACAUUGUGUGGGCACAAUACUAAUGCUAAAAGGAAUGCCCAUCAGGACAAAGUUAGUUUAAGCAAAACACAUUUUAAAUUCACAAGGGAGCCAGAUGUUGGAGCCAUUUGAGAAUCCAAUCCAAAAGCUGCCAGCAGUGGAGGAACUGCAUGAGGAUCCCUCAGCAGUAAGGUGAGCACUGGUUUGCUAUCGAACUCAACCCCAGAUUUCCCUCAUCAGACUUUUGCCAAUAUGCACAUUUUGUACAUGAUCUUGGUCUGUGUAUUGCAAAUCUGCAUUGCAGCUUCACAGAUGGUAGGUUUGGUCUUCUGGGUGGAAAUAUUACAAGUUGUCUUGGAAAUUUUAGAUCUGGGCUUCCUUUCAAGAGAAUCUCAAGUGUAUGUUCUGUGCAGAAAUGCAUCUAUUUCAUUAACUAGCCAAGCCUACAAUAUUAAAAAUCAACUCCAGUCUUCCUUCUCUGGCAGAAUGUGGCACUGUUGACAUUCUAUCAAAAUCCAAAUGUCCUAGGGUUGUAAAAUGCAAACCAUAAGAAUAGUGACUUAUAAUAAAUCUUUGUAGAGAUGAGGAAUUCA
rnacentral:lncRNA from 1 species